AUUGAACGCUGGCGGCAUGCCUUACACAUGCAAGUCGAACGGUAACGGGCCUUCGGGUGCCGACGAGUGGCGAACGGGUGAGUAAUGUAUCGGAACGUACCUUUCAGUGGGGGAUAACGUAGCGAAAGUUACGCUAAUACCGCAUAUUCUGGGAGCAGGAAAGCAGGGGAUCGCAAGGCCUUGCGCUGAGUGAUCGGACGAUGUCAGAUUAGCUAGUUGGUGAGGUAAAGGCUCACCAAGGCGACGAUCUGUAGCGGGUCUGAGAGGAUGAUCCGCCACACUGGAACUGAGACACGGUCCAGACUCCUACGGGAGGCAGCAGUGGGGAAUUUUGGACAAUGGGGGCAACCCUGAUCCAGCCAUGCCGCGUGAGUGAAGAAGGCCUUCGGGUUGUAAAGCUCUUUCGGUCGGGAAGAAACCGCAUGGGUUAAUACCCUGUGCGGAUGACGGUACCGGCAUAAGAAGCACCGGCUAACUACGUGCCAGCCGCCGCAGUAACAC
rnacentral:rRNA from 1 species